UUAAGCGACUAAGCGUACACGGUGGAUGCCUAGGCAGUCAGAGGCGAUGAAGGGCGUGCUAAUCUGCGAAAAGCGUCGGUAAGCUGAUAUGAAGCGUAAUAACCGACGAUACCCGAAUGGGGAAACCCAGUGCAAUUCGUUGCACUAUCGUUAGAUGAAUACAUAGUCUAACGAGGCGAACCGGGGGAACUGAAACAUCUAAGUACCCCGAGGAAAAGAAAUCAACCGAGAUUCCCCCAGUAGCGGCGAGCGAACGGGGAGGAGCCCAGAGUCUGAAUCAGGUGGUGUGUUAGUGGAAGCGUCUGGAAAGUCGCACGGUACAGGGUGAUAGUCCCGUACACCAAAACACACUUCCUGUGAACUCGAUGAGUAGGGCGGGACACGUGACAUCCUGUCUGAAUAUGGGGGGACCAUCCUCCAAGGCUAAAUACUCCUGACUGACCGAUAGUGAACCAGUACCGUGAGGGAAAGGCGAAAAGAACCCCGGCGAGGGGAGUGAAAUAGAACCUGAAACCGUGUACGUACAAGCAGUGGGAGCACCUUCGUGGUGUGACUGCGUACCUUUUGUAUAAUGGGUCAGCGACUUAUAUUUUGUAGCAAGGUUAACCGAAUAGGGGAGCCGUAGGGAAACCGAGUCUUAACUGGGCGUCUAGUUGCAAGGUAUAGACCCGAAACCCGGUGAUCUAGCCAUGGGCAGGUUGAAGGUUGGGUAACACUAACUGGAGGACCGAACCGACUAAUGUUGAAAAAUUAGCGGAUGACUUGUGGCUGGGGGUGAAAGGCCAAUCAAACCGGGAGAUAGCUGGUUCUCCCCGAAAGCUAUUUAGGUAGCGCCUCGUGAACUCAUCUUCGGGGGUAGAGCACUGUUUCGGCUAGGGGGCCAUCCCGGCUUACCAAACCGAUGCAAACUCCGAAUACCGAAGAAUGUUAUCACGGGAGACACACGGCGGGUGCUAACGUCCGUCGUGAAGAGGGAAACAACCCAGACCGCCAGCUAAGGUCCCAAAGUCAUGGUUAAGUGGGAAACGAUGUGGGAAGGCAUAGACAGCCAGGAUGUUGGCUUAGAAGCAGCCAUCAUUUAAAGAAAGCGUAAUAGCUCACUGGUCGAGUCGGCCUGCGCGGAAGAUGUAACGGGGCUAAACCAUGCACCGAAGCUGCGGCAGCGACGCUUAGGCGUUGUUGGGUAGGGGAGCGUUCUGUAAGCCGUUGAAGGUAGUCUGUGAGGGCUGCUGGAGGUAUCAGAAGUGCGAAUGCUGACAUAAGUAACGAUAAUGCGGGUGAAAAACCCGCACGCCGGAAGACCAAGGGUUCCUGUCCAACGUUAAUCGGGGCAGGGUGAGUCGACCCCUAAGGCGAGGCUGAAAAGCGUAGUCGAUGGGAAACAGGUUAAUAUUCCUGUACUUGGUGUUACUGCGAAGGGGGGACGGAGAAGGCUAGGCUAGCCGGGCGACGGUUGUCCCGGUUUAAGCAUGUAGGCGGAGUGACUUGGUAAAUCCGGUUGCUUAUCAACGCUGAGGUGUGAUGACGAUGCACUACGGUGCAGAAGUAGUUGAUGCCAUGCUUCCAGGAAAAGCCUCUAAGCAUCAGGUAACAUGAAAUCGUACCCCAAACCGACACAGGUGGUCAGGUAGAGAAUACUCAGGCGCUUGAGAGAACUCGGGUGAAGGAACUAGGCAAAAUGGUGCCGUAACUUCGGGAGAAGGCACGCUGGCGCUAGGUGAAGAGACUUGCUCUCGGAGCUGAAGCCAGUCGCAGAUACCAGCUGGCUGCAACUGUUUAAUAAAAACACAGCACUGUGCAAACACGAAAGUGGACGUAUACGGUGUGACGCCUGCCCGGUGCUGGAAGGUUAAUUGAUGGGGUCAGCCGCAAGGCGAAGCUCUUGAUCGAAGCCCCAGUAAACGGCGGCCGUAACUAUAACGGUCCUAAGGUAGCGAAAUUCCUUGUCGGGUAAGUUCCGACCUGCACGAAUGGCGUAAUGAUGGCCAGGCUGUCUCCACCCGAGACUCAGUGAAAUUGAACUCGCUGUGAAGAUGCAGUGUACCCGCGGCAAGACGGAAAGACCCCGUGAACCUUUACUAUAGCUUGACACUGAACAUUGAGCCUUGAUGUGUAGGAUAGGUGGGAGGCAUUGAAGUGUGGACGCCAGUCUGCAUGGAGCCAACCUUGAAAUACCACCCUUUAAUGUUUGAUGUUCUAACUCGGCCCCAUUAUCUGGGGUGAGGACAGUGUCUGGUGGGUAGUUUGACUGGGGCGGUCUCCUCCCAAAGAGUAACGGAGGAGCACGAAGGUUAGCUAAUCACGGUCGGACAUCGUGAGGUUAGUGCAAAGGCAUAAGCUAGCUUGACUGCGAGAGUGACGGCUCGAGCAGGUACGAAAGUAGGUCUUAGUGAUCCGGUGGUUCUGAAUGGAAGGGCCAUCGCUCAACGGAUAAAAGGUACUCCGGGGAUAACAGGCUGAUACCGCCCAAGAGUUCAUAUCGACGGCGGUGUUUGGCACCUCGAUGUCGGCUCAUCACAUCCUGGGGCUGAAGUAGGUCCCAAGGGUAUGGCUGUUCGCCAUUUAAAGUGGUACGCGAGCUGGGUUUAGAACGUCGUGAGACAGUUCGGUCCCUAUCUGCCGUGGGCGUUGGAAGAUUGAGAGGGGCUGCUCCUAGUACGAGAGGACCGGAGUGGACGAAUCACUGGUGUUCGGGUUGUCAUGCCAAUGGCAUUGCCCGGUAGCUAAAUUCGGAAGAGAUAACCGCUGAAAGCAUCUAAGCGGGAAACUUGCCUCGAGAUGAGUCUUCCCUGGGGCUUUAAGCCCCCUGAAGGAACGUUAAAGACGAUGACGUUGAUAGGCUGGGUGUGUAAGUGCAGCGAUGCAUUGAGCUAACCAGUACUAAUGAUCCGUGAGGCUUAACCUU
rnacentral:rRNA from 1 species